rnacentral:lncRNA from 1 species
CUUAUCUCAUGUUCUGGAGGAACAGUCAUCUUCUGCAAUGGUCAAUUAUCCCAUGCUGCACAUAGAAGAAAAGGAAUGAAAAUUCCCACUGUGAUCAGAUGACCUUCAGAUGGAAGCGCUUAUAGCUUCUUUUCUUCUGAAUGUAUUUAAUUUUAAUUUAAGAACUUUAGAACACGAUUGUUUCACUUUCUUAAAUUUCUGGAUGAUAAUUUCACCUCCUGGAGCUUAUAUUGUUUCAUUCUGUGCCUUGGAAAUAGCUCUGAAUUCAUGCGAAGCUUAUAACAGGUCAUGACACUCCUGUCUAUCAGACAAAUACAAUAGGAAUUACCCAGUUUAACACCAUUUCAGUUCUAAUUGAAUUCCAUUUGCUAAAUCCUGAAUAAAUACAUUACAACUGCUG